rnacentral:rRNA from 1 species
UACGUAGGGUGCAAGCGUUAUCCGGAAUUAUUGGGCGUAAAGAGCUCGUAGGCGGUUUGUCGCGUCUGCUGUGAAAACUGGAGGCUCAACCUCCAGCCUGCAGUGGGUACGGGCAGACUAGAGUGCGGUAGGGGAGAUUGGAAUUCCUGGUGUAGCGGUGGAAUGCGCAGAUAUCAGGAGGAACACCGAUGGCGAAGGCGGGUCUCUGGGCAGUAACUGACGCUGAGGUGCGAAAGCCAGGGGAGCAAACGGG